rnacentral:rRNA from 1 species
UACGUAGGGGGGCAAGCGUUGUCCGGAUUUAUUGGGCGUAAAGAGCGUGUAGGCGGCCAGGUAGGUCAGCUGUGAAAACUCGAGGCUCAACCUCGAGACGCCGGUUGAAACCAUCUGGCUAGAGUCCGGAAGAGGAGAGUGGAAUUCCUGGUGUAGCGGUGAAAUGCGCAGAUAUCAGGAAGAACACCCGUGGCUAAGGCGGCUCUCUAGUACGGUACUGACGCUGAGACGCGAAAGCGUGGGGAGCGAACAGGG